GGUUCGAAUUAAGAAGAACCCAGCAGCAUUUCAGCCUGGAAGUCCAGACAUUUUAAGUGCUGAAAACCAUCCAAGAGUCUGGAAGAGUCUUCUUAAACAAUUAACUGAAUCACCUGCUGAGCCAGCCAUGGGAGUGGAGACAGAAGAUCCCCUACAAGAAGUAUUGCAGUACUUACUGCACUUCUCUGCCUCAUCAUGGCCAUCACACUUUGACUUGUGACAGGAUUCAUUAGAAGUGAAGUUGAAGGAGCUGAAUCUUCAUGACCGUCAUUAGUGCACGCAGAGCAGCGCUGUCGUUCCAUCAGCAGAUGCGAGGUGUCGUGCC
rnacentral:lncRNA from 1 species